rnacentral:tRNA from 1 species
GCGUUGGUGGUUUAGUGGUAAAAUUCAUCGUUGCCAUUUACGGUUGCAGUUCCUCAAGGAGCACCCCCCCUCAGGGGCCUCCCAGGACCUCAACACCAUGUUUCGAUGAGCCCCGGGUUCGAUUCCCGGCCGACGCA